UCACCGCCCAGCAGGAUGCCAUUGGCUGUCUGCCGGAAGCUGGGCGUGCCGGAAGCUGGGCGUGCCGGGAGCUGGGCGUGCCCCCUGCGCAUGCGCUGUUCCCACGUGCUUCCGAGACGCCAUGGACCUCUGCUGAGACCGGUGAGCACCAUGCUGCGAAUCUCUGUCUUUCAGGCUCUGAGGCUCCUGGCGGCCUCUAGGGUCCCUCUUUUGGGGGGCCCCGGCGCGCGCUGUUACGGCUCGGGUGGCCCGACUGUCGGCAGCAACGCGGCCCACCCGCACGACUUCUUCACCACGCCUAUCUUCUAUGUGAACGCGGCGCCGCACAUCGGGCACCUGUACUCGGCGCUGCUCGGCGACGCCCUGUGUCGCCACCGCAGCCUUCGGGCUCCCAGCGGAGCCGCCGCGCGCCUGUCCACCGGCACUGAUGAGCACGGCCUGAAGAUCCAGCAGGCGGCGGCCGCCGCGGGCCUGGCCCCGCGCGUGCUGUGCGACCGCGUCUCCGCGCAGUUCCGCCGGCUGUUCCGGGACGCGGGCGUCGCCGCCACCGACUUCUUCCGCACCACCGAGGCGCGGCACCAGGAGGCCGUGCAACACUUCUGGGAGGUGCUGGCGGCCCGGGGUCUGCUUUACAAAGGGCUCUACGAAGGCUGGUACUGCUCCUCCGACGAGUGCUUCCUGCCCGAAGCCAAGGUCACCCGACAGCCGGGCCCUUCAGGGGAGUCGUGUCCUGUGUCCCUCGAGAGCGGGCACCCCGUCUCCUGGACUGAGGAGGAAAACUACAUUUUCAGGCUGUCCCAGUUCCGAGAACCUGUCCAGCGGUGGCUACGAAGCAACCCGCGGGCCAUUGUCCCCGAGCCUUUCCAUCGUUUGGUCUUGCAGUGGCUGGAGGAGGAGCUGCCUGACCUCUCAGUGUCUCGCAGGAGCAGCCACCUGCACUGGGGCAUUCCUGUCCCUGGAGACGAUUCGCAGACCAUUUACGUGUGGUUGGACGCGCUGGUCAGCUACCUCACUGUCAUUGGCUACCCGAACGCAGAGUUCAGAUCUUGGUGGCCGGCAUCCCAAGUCAUAGGUAAGGACAUUCUCAAGUUCCAUGCCAUCUAUUGGCCUGCCCUCCUCCUUGGAGCUGGAUUGAACCCUCCACGUCGCAUCUACGUCCACUCCCACUGGACAGUGUGUGGCCAGAAGAUGUCCAAGAGCUUGGGCAACGUGGUGGAUCCUGUGGCCUGUCUGGAUCGCUAUACUGUGGAUGGCUUCCGCUACUUUCUCCUCCGGCAGGGCGUUCCCAACUGGGACUGUGACUACAACGACGAGAAGGUGGUUAAGCUGCUGGACUCCGAGCUGGCGGAUGCGCUGGGGGGCCUUCUGAACCGGUGCACCGCCGGCAGAAUCAAUCCCUCUGGCACCUACCCGGCUUUCUGCACUGCCUGCUUCCCGACUGAGCCAGGGUCGCAGGGGCCGGCAGUUCGCGCGCAGGCAGAGGACUAUGCUCUUUUGAAUGCAGUGGCUGCUUUGCCUGAGCAAGUGGCCAACUACUAUGAUAACUUUCAAAUCUAUAAAGCCCUGGAGGCGGUGUCCAGCUGUGUUCGGCAGACCAACGGUUUUGUCCAAAGGCAUGCUCCGUGGAAGUUGAGUUGGGAGAGCCCAAGGGACGCUCCUUGGUUGGGGACAGUACUUCAUGUGGCCUUCGAGUGUUUGCGAGUCUUUGGCACUUUGCUUCAGCCGGUUACCCCAAGCCUAGCUGAUAAACUGCUGUCCAGGCUGGGGGUGUCUGCCGCAGAGAGGGGCCUUCAGCAGCUCUUUUUCCUCCCUCGGUUCUAUGGACGACAGUGCCCUUUUGAAGGGAGGCGGCUGGGUCCUGAAACUGGGCUUUUGUUUCCAAGGCUGGACCAGUCCAGGGUUCGGAUGGUGAAAGCUCAGGGGACAUAGAGACUCAGUUCUUCCUGGUUUGUGGUAAAAUUCAAAUGUUUUUCCUUUUAGGAAAGUUUUACUCGUGUUUUCUAAAGUGUUGCAUCAGAUGAGCACACAAGCUGUGUGUUUCCCUGUGACAGGGCCUCCAAGCACCUGCCCUGGUUCAUUUCUCUUUGGCCAUUAACAACUGGCUUUGUCCCACAAGUCUGCAGGAAAGAUGGGUAAGAGAUGGGGGUGCUGAUACUGUUCCUCUCAUUGUACCCUUUUCCAGCCAGCGAUUUGUGCAGUCUACCUCGUAGGGUGUCCGCUUGUCAGGCUAAUUAGUACAGUGACAUCCUUGUGAGUAGGGUUUGGAGGUCCCCAGCCCUAGCUUCUGCCUACUUUGGUAGAUGGUUAACCCUACUUUGUUAUGUGUAACUGGGUCUCCUGUUAAAAAGGAAUUCUUUUACUUAAACUUGAAAACCUUGUGUCCUAGACGAGAUGAGUUUUGCUUACGUUCAUCCCUAUUUAAAUUCCUGCAGCCAGGACACUCUUAGUCCAACAGUCCUGGUCUAACUAGUAGGUGGCUGUGGUCGCACACAGUUAAGAUUGAGGUUUCAGAAUAUUUAAAAUAAAUUAGUUUCUGCUUCUUCACCUCUUGGGUCUUUCACUUAUUUUAAGGGGUAACUGCAACCACUGUUGUUUUAACAGAAAGCAAUAAAGUAGAAUUUUCAGUUUCUUAAAGACUACUGAAAAAUGACACUUGCUACUAUGCUAGUGUUUCACAUUGUUUAUGUGAUAAACUAUGAAACUUGAGGCACUUGAUGUUAAAAAUUUCCAACUUUAAUAACAAGUAUGACUAAUUUGUAGACUUCAAAAGAGCAAUACUCUAUUUGUUCUUAAUUUUGUUAUUCACACACAUAAUUUACCUCAUGAUUCCUUUUGGUCAAUUGAGAUGUCAUGUAGAAAUUGUGUAAUAGUUGCUGAAAAUAUUAAUACUUGAAUUCAAGUUUUUUCUGAUUGUUUUGCUCUUUUAAUUUAUUAAAGUUUAAAGGUUCUGAGUGCCUUUUUUAGAUCUGUUCUGGAGAAUUUGUUGAGGUGAGGGUGGAGGGAAGAACUGAUCAGUGCUCCAGGAGUCUCCGACUGAACUUGGAGAUCUCUCCACGGCUCCCCAGGAGAACCUCCCAGAGGAGAUUUUUAAGUUAUUAGUUUAUACAAUGGCUCAACCUAGGAAACCAGAAUGAUGUAGGUGACUGUAGCUGUGAGGAAUCAAAUGCAACUUCCCUCAGAAAAUCAGAAGUGUGGUAGCAGGCAAAAAGUGUGUUAGCAGUUCCCCUGGAAUCAGCAAGGCAAAGGGAUUCCUAGUUGCUGGGAAAAUAAUGCCUAGAGGCAUUCUGACGUAGAAGGACCAUUUCUGAAAACUGGUCCUCUGGGCUGGCUGGCACCCUGUUGGUUACUGGGGGCUUUCAUAUGACGCACGGUGUUACAGGGAUGGGCAAAGCAGGAAGCGUCUCCCAGGGCUGGAAGGAGCAGAGGCUGGUGAAGAUGGCAAGUGUGAAUACAAAGGAAGGGACACAUUUGGACAAGUAGUGAGGCCAUGACCUCUGUGUCCUUACAGCUGCAAGACAGUUCCUGCCAGGGCUGGAGACACAGUGUCUUUCCCUUGAAACUUUCUGUGGCUUGCAGUGGUCAUGCACAGGUGCGUGGCUUGCUGAUGGAUGUGAGUGGAGUUCGUUUUGUGCAGCCUGUCACAGGUGCAGGACUUAGCUGGCCUCUUGGAUGUGUGGUUAAGGUACUCAGAAACACCCAAAACAGACAGCGCAGUUAUCCCAGAAGACGGGAUGCUCUGAGCAGAGCCAUUGUCGAAUCUGGUUGUGAUCAUCAGUUGGUUGUAAACACGCUGCUCUGGACCAGCUGGACACAUUGGACCUGACUUUGUGGUGCUAUGAACAGUGACCCAGGUUCUCUGGAGUGCCAAAGCACAGCAUGGAAAACAAAUAUUUUUUUAAAAAAACUUGUUUUAUAAAAUGCUAAUGCUAGAGUUAUUCAAGCUUGACAGCUGAGAUCAUCCUUCCUGUGUUGGGGAUGGGAGCAGGGGGCCUUGUGCUGGACAGGUGCUCUACCACUGAGCCAUAUCGCCAGCCCAGCAGCAAGGUUUCCCUAAAGUUAAAAGGGCCUAAAAAACACAUCUUUGGUCCCUUGGAUCAUUAAUCCACACUUUUCCAUCACAUUUUCUGACCUUUUUUCUCCAAGGCUUAGAACUGUGGGGAUAGUCAUUGGUGUAGCCUCUGCUUUUAGGUAUCUGGGGCCACAUUCUCAAGCCAGCAAUUUUAGAGGAACAGUCUAAAGAACAAAUGAAUGAUGCGUGUUAUCUACAUUCCGGACAUGAGGUUAGAAAUCUGCUUGGCAGCGUUAGGAAGUUUUCCACUUGGUUCCAAACUUGGAGAAAUACAUUUUGGAAGAUGAAUUGGCUGUCUAUGGUGGUUCUGUUUAUAGCCUCCUAUUCCUUGAGCCCCUUGACUGGAGCUUUUCAGUUACAUUUAAUUAUAUGUAUGGAGGUUGUAACUUCUUGAUAACAAGAGACUGAUAAUCCUAAAAAAUGCCCUCUGCAGUAUACAGUGGAUCCUUGACUUGGAAACUCAAUGCAUUUCUGUGGGCUGGCCAUAACUCCUGUUGGGGAUUAAAGUCUCCUGUACACAGGCAGACCUUAAUGUCCAUUCAAACACUGGUCCAGAAUUUCUCACUCCACACAGGAAAGGAGGUUGUAAUGUUCCUUCCAGACCUCUUUAAGGGUUAAACCUGGAUCUGAGACCAUCUGGAUGGACAGGCAGCCUGCAUUGAGCUCAUAGCUCAAGUCUCUCAGUCGUAAGCUAAAACAAAUCCUGGUCAUAACCCAAGUUGUUCGUAUGUUAGGCAGGAUGUAACUCAAUGGUCCACUGUAUUUUAGAAUAGCUUUAAAAGUCACCUAGGAAUUUUAAAGGGUCUUUGGUUACAUUUUUCUUAUUACUGAGAUAAAAUACCUGACACCCAACAUUAAGAAGGAAAGGUUUAUUUAGCUCACAGUUUGUGGAGGUUUCUGUUCAUAAUCGCUAGCUCCCAGGCAGGAUGGCAUGGCACAAAGGCAACUAACUGUUUAUGACGGUGGCAGAUACGAAAAGCGGCAAGAACAAAAAGGCAAAAGAGGGAAGCACGCCUCUUGCCCUCAUAUGUAUGCCAGCUCCCUGCCCCAGGUGGGUACAGCACUCACACUAGACAACAAACCAAUCACAGAAGCUAGAUUCAGCCAUCUUUGAAAGGCUUACUGCCCAUGACCGUAUGAGGCUUUGGGGAGACAUUUAGACAGAAGCCAUAACUGCCUUUGAAGUAAAGAAUUUAAUAAAUUGGAUUAAGUUGCUAUAAAACUUAGCAGAAACUCUAUGUAGGUUAUAUAAGAAGCAGAACUUGUAGCACUGAGCUUUUUUUGUCAGUGCUGGGCAUUGAACCUAGGGCCUUGUGUUAGGUAAUUGCUGUACCACUGAGUUACAUCCCCAGCCCAGGUUUUACUUCAUUCCUAGAAUGCAGUUAAGUAAAAUUAUAAUGCAUAAGAAUCCUAUUUUAAUACUAUAGAAGAAAACUACUGACAUAAAGUUCAGUGUUAAAAGUAUGUAUGAGUAACAUGAAAGCUGACAGCUGGGUUUUCUUUUUUUUGUUUUGUCUUUUUCCUUUUUAUCGGUACUGGGGAUCGAACUCACAACUACCUGCUUUCAAGGCAGGCGCUUAUGCCACUGAGCAACAGCUGGAUUUUCAUGCCAGUCUCCCCCUCCGGGUGCCACAGACUUGUUGCCGUGGGCCACGGGCCGCAGCCCAGAGUGACUGGGCGUCCACCGGCUGGCCCUGCUCCUGACUCCGCCGCAGCCACUGACCAGAGGGGAAGCAGUGCAAGGUCUGCUGUUGCCGCUGCCACUGCCCGGAGGAAAGGUGAGGCAAAGUAAUACAGUGCAGGCCACAGCGCUUGACUGAUCCAGAGGGGAGGGGCUAGCAUAUGCUGUCCCUGUCUGCAACUCACUAGCACACUGCAGUGUGAAGGGUCACCUAGCCAGCACACUUCAAAGGAUUGUAACCAACAAAGAAAGUAACUGGGGCCUCCUGGAAGAAGCAAAAAAGAUGGGAAGGGGAAACAACAAGAAAAAAUCCCCAGGUCCCAACCCUGAGAACACUGACGCAGGACAGGUAAAUACAAAGGAGAAUGAGAACAGCAAACAUGCAAUAUCAGACUCAGCACCAGUGGAUAUAGAGAGAUAUAUUUGGGACCUCAUAGACGAGUUCAAAAGUAAAAUAUUUAGCCAAAUAAAGUAAGAAAUAAGAAAAUUAAAGAGAUACUAAGCAUCCCUCAAGCAGACACAGAUGGAAGGGAGGAACUCAAACAAAGGAGAGAACCAUUUGAUGAAUAUAAAAAAAUAUAGAAGGGGCUGGGGAUUUAGCUCAGCGGCAUAAACACCUGCCUAGUGGCAGGCAGUCGUGAGUUCAAUCCCUGGUACCGAUAAAAACGAAAAAGACCACAAAAAAAAUAUAUAGAGUACAUAAAGCAGAUUCAAAGAGAUCACUAUGAAAUUAAAAACUCUAUGGAAAGAUGGCAAAUCAGCUUGAAAGAAACUUAAGGAUAGAUUAUCCAAACUGGAGGACAAUUUUGCAAUGUGGGAGUAUGAAAGGGAAAAUUUUUAAAAAUAACAAGGAAACAAGCAUUAACAAUACAAAGGCUAGAAGAUGACAAAAGGAUCUAUAACGAGAAUAAAGAAUGUGAAUGAAGAAGCUGGGGUACAAACAAAGGAACUACAAAGGUUAUUCACAGAAAUAAUUAAGGAAAACUUCCCAAACAUAGGAAAAAGAAAUGAUAUUCUGAUAUAUGAUUCAUACAGAACUCUAGCCACGUACAACCAAAACAGAGCUAUACCCAGGCAUAUAAUAAUCAAGAUCCCAGAAAUUCAAUAUAAGAACAGAAUAUUAAAAGCUGUUGAGAUGAGAAACAGAUAACCUACAGAGGAAGGCCCAUCAGAAUAACGGCAGACUUCUCCACACAAACCAUCAAGUCAAGAAGAGUCUGGAGCGAAAUAUUCCAAGCCCUCAAAGAAAAUAACCUCCAACCCAGAUUGAUAUAUCCUGAUAAACUGUCUUUAGAAAUUAAUGGAGAAACAAGAUGCUUCCAAGACAAAGAGGAACUUGGGAAAUUGGCAACCACCAAUCCAAGUCUACAGAGAUACUGCAGGACAUUCUAGAGAAAGAGAAAAGUACUAGGAUUCCAGGAACAGUGGCAGAGAGGCCUCAAUGAAUGGAGCAGAAAACACAAUGAAGAAGAUAAGCAAACAACUGAUGGCAAACAAGAGCAUAACAGAAAUGAGGCAGAGAAGAUUUUAUUCAAAACUGAUAUGAUUGAUAGUAUCAAGUCUGAGGGUAUAGGCAACUACACUGAAGAUGACAAGACUCUAUGAUACACACUCUGGUUUGAUAACUGCCUGUUUUUGAAGUUCUAUUCUAUAUACAAAGUUGUGUUUUUAUUAACACUGUUAUGUACUGAUAUAUUCAAUUAUACUAUGUCUGAUGAUAUAGCCAACUCUAUUGGAGAUAACAAGAGACAACACAGGAACCGUGGUAAAUCUCUUUGUACAACAGUCUUAUAUGUUUAUUUCAUUUCAUGUGUUUAUAGGAAUGUUUUGUUUUGCCAUGCUGUGUUUUGUUUCUCCCUCUAAUAUAGAAAGGAUAGAAAAACAUGUUAAGACUCAUACAUGUAUAGAAUCUAUAAACAGCUUCAUGAGAACAGAUCUUAUGACACAUGAUGAAAUGAAGAGAUACUUUGAAGAAAAAGACACACUAAAAUACCCAGUGCUGAUCCUGGAGUAUCAUAAUGUGAAAUCCAGCAAUAGUAUUAUUCUUUGUUCAGAGUGAUAUUAGCCUGCUUGGGUUUAUUCAAUAACAACAUAAUUUAAGAUAUGGAUAACUGCAUGUAUGUUUAAGUGUAUAGGAUUGAUAACCAUAUUUCUAAGUUUUUGUUGGAUAGUUGAACAGAACUUGUUGCCAUCUCACUGUUUGAAUUCCCACUUUAUAUACUCCACUUUAGUAUCUUGAAUAACUAUUUGUAAGAAGACAAUCUGUAAUCAUCAACUAGUGAUUUCUUACUGUUUAUUUUUUCUUUGAUAUUAUGUAUUAUUUCUACCCAUUUUGUUUAUUCCUACUUUAAAUUAAAUUAAAAAAAGGCACUACACUACCCAGUGCUGAUCAGAGUGUCAUGAUGUGAAAUCCAGCAAUACUAUUAUUCUUUGUUCAGAAUGUUUCUAACCUGCUUUAGUUUGUUUAAUCUAAACAUAAAUGAAGAUAUGGAUAACUGCAUAUAUGUUUAAGUGUAUAGGAUUGACAACUAUGUUACUAAGUUUUUGUUGGACAGUUGAACAGAACUGUUUGCAGUCUCGCUGUUUGAAUUCCCACUUUAUAUAUUCUACUCUUGUACCUUGAACAACUAUUUGUAAAACAAUAUGUAAACAUCAACUUGUGAUUUCUUAUUGUUUUUUUCUCUGACCGUAUGUAUUAUUUCUACCAAUUUUCUGUUUUGCUUAGUCUUUCUUUAAAUAAAAUUUUAAAUAAAAUGA